rnacentral:tRNA from 1 species
CCUGGUGGCUCAGAUGGUAAAGCGCCUGUCUGCAAGGCAGGAGACUCAGGUUCGAUCCCUGGAUCAGGA